rnacentral:tRNA from 1 species
GGAAGGGUGGCAGAGUGGUCGAUUGCACCGGUCUUGAAAACCGGCAACGCGAAAGCGUUCCAGGGUUCGAAUCCCUGCCCUUCCG